UGACCCGUCAGUAGAAUACCC
rnacentral:rRNA from 1 species